rnacentral:hammerhead_ribozyme from 1 species
AUCCAAUCGAUGAGCCCCAAAUAGGACGAGACAUAUGUCCUGGAU